CCUACGGGAGGCAGCAGUCGAGAAUCAUUCACAAUGGGGGAAACCCUGAUGGUGCGACGCCGCGUGGGGGAAUGAAGGUCUUCGGAUUGUAAACCCCUGUCAUGUGGGAGCAAAUUAAAAAGAUAGUACCACAAGAGGAAGAGACGGCUAACUCUGUGCCAGCAGCCGCGGUAAUACAGAGGUCUCAAGCGUUGUUCGGAUUCACUGGGCGUAAAGCGUGCGUAGACUGUUUCGUAAGUCGUGUGUGAAAGGCGGGGGCUCAACCCGCGGACGGCACAUGAUACUGGGAGACUAGAGUAAUGGAGGGGGAGGCGGAAUUCUCGGUGUAGCAGUGAAAUGCGUAGAUAUCGAGAGGAACACUCGUGGCGAAGGCAGGUUCCUGGACAGUAACUGACGCUGAGGCACGAAGGCCAGGGGAGCGAAAGGGAUUAGAUACCCUUGUAGUC
rnacentral:rRNA from 1 species